rnacentral:rRNA from 1 species
CCUGACCGUGUAAGGUAGCAUAAUCAUUUGUCUUUUAAUUAAAGGCUUGUAUGAAUGGUUGGAUGAGAUAUAAUCUAUUUUUAUUUAAUUAAAAAUGAAUUUUAAUUUUUAGUAAAAAUGCUAAAAUAAAAAAUAUAGACGAGAAGACCCUAUAAAUCUUUAUUAUUUUUUUAUUAAUUUAUUAAUAGAAGAAAAAAUUUAUUAUUAGAAAAAUAAUUUUAUUGGGGUGAUAAUGAAAUUUAAUAAACUUUUAUUUUAUUUUAUAAAUAUAAUUAAUUUAAUGAUCCAUUUUUAAUGAUUAUAAAAUUAAGUUACUUUAGGGAUAACAGCGUAAUUAUUUUAAAGAGUUCAUAUCGAUAAAAUAGUUUGCGGACCUCGAUGUUGAAUUAAGUAGUA